rnacentral:tRNA from 1 species
GGGGACGUGGUGUAGUCUGGUUUAAACACACUGCCCUGUCAAGGCAGAGACCGCGGGUUCAAAUCCCGUCGUCCCCG